UGAGUUGUUUGGGAUGUGCUCUUGUGCACGAGACGGAUGUGAGUUAAUCCGAAAAGUUGCCAAAGGAGCUGCGUUGAGGUGUCGAUUAGGAUUUCAUUCGUUCUGUCGAAUUCGUCUCUUUCUUUUACUGUGAGCCGCUUUUAUAGUUCGCAUUAAGAUUUCCGUAAUAUUCGUUUUAGUAAGAUAUUUUCCCUUGCAAAAUAACUAGAGUGAAGUUAAUUAAACCUCGUGCUUCAGCUCCCAAACCACACUUCGGACCUCACGCGCGUGCAUUAAGUGACGAGAUGGAGCUCUCUUUAGUCGCACUGUUCUGUUUCUCCCACCUAGCGCCAGUUUUGGCAUCUACGAUGGAUGACGCUAACGAUUAUGACAGCCAGUUUCAUUACGACUACGAGUCAGUGCGGAUUGGAGGUUUGGUCUUCGCAGCCGUGCUCUUCUUCCUGGGGAUCUUUGUUAUCAUCAGCCGAAAAUGCCACUGCAGAGGAAGACAGGCCUCUUAAAGCUAUGGGAAUUUAAUCCAGAAGCAUCGUGAGCAUGUAUUACCACCCAGUAGGAGACAGCAGUGGGAUGGCGAAAGCUAAAAUGGAUCCUGUUUUCAUGUGUUCGCAUUUCCGGUUCAAUCAAAUCAUCUUCUUUAUCCAACGCUGCCAUCUCUCCCUCUCAGAUGUCUGAUCCCUAAGUUCUUAGUUGACAAUGUCUCUUAUUGCGUGGUAGCGGGUCGCAGCUGAUGAGGUCUUGCUUCUUGAUUAGUUCAUUCACUUCUUUUUCACCAAGACCCCUUGACAUUUCCUUAGACUUCUGUAGAUGAUAGUUCUGAAGUGUUAAGGCACAUUUCCCUUCAUAUUGUAGCAUUUUAUAUGUUUUUGUAAAUUCUUUUAAUUGUUUGCAAGACACUAAUUAGCUGUUGAGAUUAGACAUUGGGUUAAAUGAGUACAUGACUGACAGCUUUUCUAUCAAAUAAAUACGAUUAAAUGACA